AGUUGGGUUGGAAAGACAAGGCACGUUUCUACAACUUUUAUGUUUUGGAAGAAGUCAAAUUCGUAUCACAAAGCAGCCAAAAUUACCGUGCAAAGUCCAGCUUGUUACCUGCCGGAUACAGCUUUACCUGUGAAGCAGCACUUAUUGUUUUUGUCAUAUCUGGAGUUAUAUAGAUCCAAUGAACCUGAUAUUUGAACCAAUGGAAAGCUAACUCAAGUGGUAAUAAUUUAUCUGUUGAUCAUAAGUCCAAAUUCGCUGCACAAUAUAUCUGAAAAUUGGCAUCAAGUUGCAUGUUCCAGCUGUCUUGAAGCUGGACAGAAACAAGUUGCAUUGCCUACUUGAAUUAUGGAUGUUCCUUUGCCUAUAAAAGGGGACCUUGGCCACGAUUUUGAAGAAUCAAUUCCUCUCCAUCAUAUUAUAGUUUCCUUCAUUUUCUUUGUAACAUUUCACUAUGUAUUUCUAAACAUUUAGCUAGAGCUAAGGGUGAAACUUUGAUGAAUGUUUAGUAUUGUCUUUGAUCUUUCAUUUUGUUCUUCAAUGUUCAUCUUCUUACU
rnacentral:lncRNA from 1 species